AUUUAAAUAGCUUAAGAAAAGCGAAGGAUUGUAAAUCCUAUGUUGGGUUGCUCCUUUAUAUU
rnacentral:tRNA from 1 species